UACGUAGGGACCAAGCGUUGUUCGGAUUUACUGGGCGUAAAGGGCGCGUAGGCGGCAAUUCAAGUCAGCUGUGAAAUCUCCGGGCUUAACUCGGAACGGUCAGCUGAUACUGCUUUGCUAGAGUACAGAAGGGGCAAUCGGAAUUCUUGGUGUAGCGGUGAAAUGCGUAGAUAUCAAGAGGAACACCUGAGGUGAAGACGGGUUGCUGGGCUGAUACUGACGCUGAGGCGCGAAAGCGUGGGGAGCAAACAGG
rnacentral:rRNA from 1 species